ACACAUGCAGUCGAACGGUGAAGGAGAGCUUGCUCUCCGGAUCAGUGGCGAACGGGUGAGUAACACGUGAGCAAUCUGCCCCUGACUCUGGGAUAACAGUUGGAAACAGCUGCUAAUACCGGAUACGAGCUUCGAAGGCAUCUUCAGAAGCUGGAAAGAACUUCGGUCAGGGAUGAGCUCGCGGCCUAUCAGCUAGUUGGUGAGGUAAUGGCUCACCAAGGCGUCGACGGGUAGCCGGCCUGAGAGGGUGACCGGCCACACUGGGACUGAGACACGGCCCAGACUCCUACGGGAGGCAGCAGUGGGGAAUAUUGCACAAUGGGCGCAAGCCUGAUGCAGCAACGCCGCGUGAGGGACGACGGCCUUCGGGUUGUAAACCUCUUUUAGCAGGGAAGAAGCGAAAGUGACGGUACCUGCAGAAAAAGCGCCGGCUAACUACGUGCCAGCAGCCGCGGUAAUACGUAGGGCGCAAGCGUUAUCCGGAAUUAUUGGGCGUAAAGAGCUCGUAGGCGGUUUGUCGCGUCUGCUGUGAAAACUGGAGGCUCAACCUCCAGCCUGCAGUGGGUACGGGCAGACUAGAGUGCGGUAGGGGAGAUUGGAAUUCCUGGUGUAGCGGUGGAAUGCGCAGAUAUCAGGAGGAACACCGAUGGCGAAGGCAGAUCUCUGGGCCGUAACUGACGCU
rnacentral:rRNA from 1 species